CGCUGGCGGCAGGCUUAACACAUGCAAGUCGAACGGGCACUUCGGUGCUAGUGGCAGACGGGUGAGUAACACGUGGGAACGUACCUUUCGGUUCGGAAUAAUUCAGGGAAACUUGGACUAAUACCGGAUACGCCCUUCGGGGGAAAGAUUUAUCGCCGAAAGAUCGGCCCGCGUCUGAUUAGCUAGUUGGUGAGGUAAUGGCUCACCAAGGCGACGAUCAGUAGCUGGUCUGAGAGGAUGAUCAGCCACAUUGGGACUGAGACACGGCCCAAACUCCUACGGGAGGCAGCAGUGGGGAAUAUUGGACAAUGGGCGCAAGCCUGAUCCAGCCAUGCCGCGUGUGUGAUGAAGGCCUUAGGGUUGUAAAGCACUUUUGUCCGGGAAGAUAAUGACUGUACCGGAAGAAUAAGCCCCGGCUAACUUCGUGCC
rnacentral:rRNA from 1 species